rnacentral:rRNA from 1 species
AGAACGAACGCUGGCGGCAUGCCUAACACAUGCAAGUCGAACGAAGCCUUCGGGCUUAGUGGCGCACGGGUGCGUAACGCGUGGGAAUCUGCCCUUGGGUUCGGAAUAACAGUUAGAAAUGACUGCUAAUACCGGAUGAUGUCUUCGGACCAAAGAUUUAUCGCCCAGGGGUGAGCCCGCGUAGGAUUAGCUUGUUGGUGAGGUAAAGGCUCACCAAGGCGACGAUCCUUAGCUGGUCUGAGAGGAUGAUCAGCCACACGUGGACUGAGACCACCGGCCCAGACUCCGUACGGGAGGCAGCGAGGUAGGGAAUAGUUAGGACGUAAGUGGGACGAAAGGCCUGACUCCAGUACAAUCGGCCGCGGUGAGUGAA